rfam:Plicaturopsis crispa FD-325 SS-3 unplaced genomic scaffold PLICRscaffold_20, whole genome shotgun sequence.
GCUUGGUUGGCUCAGCUGGUUAGAGCGCCGGUCUCAUAUUUCAGAAUAUGACGUUGCUACGCGAUGCCAUCCGGAGAUCACCAGUUCGAUCCUGGUACCGAGCA